GCAUAUCAAUAAGCGGAGGAAAAGAAACCAACAGGGAUUGCUCUUAGUAACGGCGAAGUGAAGCAGCAAUAGCUUCAAAUUUGAAAUCUGGCGUCUUCGACGUCCGAGUUGUAAUUUGUAGAGGAUGCUUCUGAGUAACCACCGACCUAAGUUCCUUGGAACAGGACGUCAUAGAGGGUGAGAAUCCCGUAUGCGGUCGGAAAGGUGCUCUAUACGUAGCUCCUUCGACGAGUCGAGUUGUUUGGGAAUGCAGCUCUAAAUGGGAGGUAAAUUUCUUCUAAAGCUAAAUAUUGGCCAGAGACCGAUAGCGCACAAGUAGAGUGAUCGAAAGAUGAAAAGCACUUUGGAAAGAGAGUUAAAAAGCACGUGAAAUUGUUAAAAGGGAAGGGAUUGCAACCAGACUUGCUCGCGGUGUUCCGCCGGUCUUCUGACCGGUCUACUCGCCGCGUUGCAGGCCAGCAUCGUCUGGUGCCGCUGGAUAAGACUUGAGGAAUGUAGCUCCUUCGGGAGUGUUAUAGCCUCUUGUGAUGCAGCGAGCGCCGGGCGAGGUCCGCGCUUCGGCUAGGAUGCUGGCGUAAUGGUCGUAAUCCGCCCGUCUUGAAACACGGACCAAGGAGUCUAACAUCUAUGCGAGUGUUCGGGUGUCAAACCCCUACGCGUAAUGAAAGUGAACGGAGGUGAGAACCGCAAGGUGCAUCAUCGACCGAUCCUGAUGUCUUCGGAUGGAUUUGAGUAAGAGCAUAGCUGUUGGGACCCGAAAGAUGGUGAACUAUGCCUGAAUAGGGUGAAGCCAGAGGAAACUCUGGUGGAGGCUCGCAGCGGUUUCUGACGUGCAAAUCGAUCGUCAAAUUUGGGUAUAGGGGGCGAAAGACUAAUCGAACCCAUCUAGUAGCUGGUUCCUGCCGA
rnacentral:rRNA from 1 species